CGCCUGUUUAUCAAAAACAUAACCUUUAGUCAAUAAACCAAUAUUAAAGGCAACGCCUGCCCAGUGAACAAUUUAACGGCCGCGGUACCCUAACCGUGCAAAGGUAGCACAAUCACUUGUCUAUUAAUUGUAGACCUGUAUGAAAGGCAAAACGAGGGCCUAUCUGUCUCUUGUAGUAAAUCAAUUAAACUGAUCUCCCAGUCCAAAAGCUGGGAUACCAACAUAAGACCAGAAGACCCUGUGAAGCUUAAACUAAACUAUUAAAUCCUAUAAUAGCUCCUUUCGGUUGGGGCGACCCUGGAAAAAAAAAGAACUUCCAAACAUACUGACUUUAUACUCACCAACCCAGGCCAACAAGCCUAACAACGACCCAGCACAGCUGAUAACUGAACCAAGUUACUCCAGGGAUAACAGCGCUAUCUUCUUCAAGAGCCCAUAUCAAAAAGAAGGUUUACGACCUCGAUGUUGGAUCAGGACAUCCUAAUGGUGCAGCCGCUAUUAAGGGUUCGUUUGUUCAACGAUUAACAGUCCCACGUGA
rnacentral:rRNA from 1 species